rnacentral:lncRNA from 1 species
GGAAGAAAGAAGGCAGGCCAAGCUAACCCAGUUCUCCAGCACACAUUCAAAGGCAAGAGGAGUCUAAAAUAUCCUUGGUCUUCCCCACCCCACCCACAGUGUGUAAGUACAAUCAUAGCACCAAGUAUGUCUUUCUUUAUACUUGACCCAGCUGUCUCCCAGUGGUGCAGUGAGAGCUACCUAAGGAGGUACUUUGGUGCUUUGGAGAAAUGUAGAUCUGGAUUCAGCUCCCUGCUUGACUAUUUAAGAGUUGUGUGGCCUUGGGCAAAUUACUCAUCUCUAAGCCUUUGAUUUCUCCAUGGUAAAAGGAGAUAAUGAUAGUGUGUAAGGCUUUGAAAUGGUAAUCAAUCAUUUGUGGUACAUGUUCAGACAAUGCUCACUCUUACUAUUACUCCCAAUCCACAGCCCAGAAGGGUGGGCAGAUAAGUAGCUAACCGAGGGGAGGCUGGGGCAGUUGACACCUGCUGUUCUGAGUUUCCCUUGCCUGCUCCCUAGUGCUGGCCAAAGACCCUGGCUGGAGAAGCAGGGAAUCAGCCCUGGGCUGCCACGGUAAGGCCAAGGGUUAGAAGAUGGAGGCCUGGCUAACCAGGCCCAGGCUCUGCUCAACCCAGGAGGGUUCCAAACACCACAUUUGGAACUUCACCCUGUGACUUAGAGGUGGGAAUCUAUGUAUUUCCUAAUAACUCUGUUUCAAAGCAAGUUUACUUCUGACUGAGACAAACGUGGGUGUGGUGGGUUCCUUGUAUUCAAAACGAAACAAAAGAAAAGAAAACAAAGAGCACCCCCUCCCCCAAGCCCGGAAGGCCUGUAGACCUUUUCCCAGGCAAAAUGUGCGAAAAGAGGAGGGAGCGCCUUUGUGGGUGCUGUCCUGAUUUAGAGCUUAGGAGCACAGCCCUCUCCAGCCCUCCUCAAGUCUGAGGUUCCAAGCUGUUAAAAGCACUGGGGUCCCAGGGGCGGGGUGGAUGAGAUUUGUUCAGCCCAUCCCCAGUCUCAGCGGCUUGCUCAGCCGGUCCCGCGCAGGGGAGGACCAGAGCACCGCUGGGUUGGACGCACCCCACCCGGGGAAGCACCCGCUCUCCCUGCCGGAAUCCCUGGAAUGUCGCCGGUCCAGGAAGUGUCUAUCCGGGCUCUAUGCAGAGGGAGGGGUUAAAACGUGGAAUUUCUCGGGGUGCUUUUGCACAUAUUCCCCUCAAGCUUUUCAGCCCCAUGAAGUUGAAGCUCACGGGGGUGAGAAGGAAGCCGCCUACUUCUUCCCCUGGCCGACUUUGUCUCAGGAAGGUUCGCAAUCCCUGCUCUAUGCAGAAACUGAAGCACAGAGAAGUUCAAAAUUUGCCCAAGAUCAGACAGCCAGUAAGUGUAAGAGCCUCGUGGAUCUUUCACUCUCACAUCUGCCCAUGCUUUGGUCACCUACCAGUCCUUCCACAAUAUAACACCCUUUUCUUGUCUGGCCUAGUCUCUCAAUGCUUUGAAAUUGGGUUCUGCUUUUAAAAAGCAAAAAUAAAGAUUUACCACAGUCUAUCA